rnacentral:rRNA from 1 species
GAAUUUUGGGCAAUGGCCGCAAGGCUGACCCAGCGACGCCGCGUGCGGGAGGACGCCUUUCGGGGUGUAAACCGCUGUCAGGGGGGACGAACCGCCGGAAGUCGAACAGGCUUACGGUCUGACGGUACCCUCAAAGGAAGCGCCGGCUAACUCCGUGCCAGCCGCCGCGGUAAGACGGAGGGCGCAAGCGUUGCUCGGAAUCACUGGGCGUAAAGGGCGCGCAGGCGGAUGGGUAAGUCGGGGGUGAAAGACCGGGGCUCAACUCCGGGGCGGCCUCCGAGACUGCUCGUCUGGGGACCGGUAGGGGCAGGUGGAAUUCCCGGUGUAGCGGUGGAAUGCGUAGAGAUCGGGAAGAACACCGGUGGCGAAGGCGGCCUGCUGGGCCGGAUCCGACGCUGAGGCGCGAAAGCGUGGGGAGCAAACAGG